rnacentral:lncRNA from 1 species
GAAUGAACCUUACUUACAUAAAAGCUUAAUGAAGGAUGAAACUACUGUUCCUUUGCCCUCAAAUUUCAAGUCCCAAAAAGUAAAAUACUAGUAACCCACAGCAUAGUCUCUAUAAAGCUGUUUGUACUUUGGUGUUUAUGCUUAGCAAUCAACUACUACAAGACAAUCUAUCUAAGCUUGGAAACCGGGAUUGAAGUUGAAAAUGAAUGUGUGCAGGC